rnacentral:rRNA from 1 species
GACGAACGCUGGCGGCGUGCUUAACACAUGCAAGUCGAACGAAGUGGCGAACGGGUGAGUAACGCGUAAUCAACCUGCUCUUCAGAGGGGGACAACAGUUGGAAACGACUGCUAAUACCGCAUACUGCCGUAUGGGAUUGCGUCUGAUUCGCUAGUUGGAUGGGUAACGGCACUACAAGUCGAUGAUCAGUAGCCGGUAUGAGAGGAUUAACGGCCACAUUGGGACUGAGACACGGCCCAGACUCUUACGGGAGGCAGCAGGUGGGAGUCUUCCGCAAUGGACGAAAGUCGGACGGAGCAACGCCGCGUGAGUGAUGACUGCCUUCGGGUUGUAAAGCUCUGUUAAUCGGGACGCGGUACCGGAAGAGAAAGCCACGGCUAACUACGUGCCAGCAGCCGCGGUAAUAC